AAUCAACGCUGGCGGCGUGCCUCAGACAUGCAAGUCGAACGCGAAAUUUCCCUUCGGGGAGAAAGUAGAGUGGCGCACGGGUGAGUAACACGUAGGUAAUUUGCCUUUGGGUGGGGAAUAACUCAGGGAAACUUGAGCUAAUACCGCAUAAUGCAGCGGCUCGACAUCGAGACAGUUGUUAAAGCGGGGGAUUGGAGUAAUCCGACCUCGCGCCUAAAGAGAAGCCUGCGGCAGAUUAGCUAGUUGGUAAGGUAAUGGCUUACCAAGGCUACGAUCUGUAACCGGCCUGAGAGGGCGGUCGGUCACACUGACACUGACAUACGGGUCAGACUCCUACGGGAGGCAGCAGUCGGGAAUUUUGGGCAAUGGGCGAAAGCCUGACCCAGCAACGCCGCGUGAAGGAUGAAAUUUUCGGAAUGUAAACUUCGCAAGAACAGGAAGAAUAAGUAGGGGACAAUACCCCUAUGAUGACGGUACUGUUUGUAAGCUCCGGCUAACUCCGUGCCAGCCGCCGCCGUAAC
rnacentral:rRNA from 1 species